GCCCGACGUUGGUCACCGUGCGUGUGAGCGUGACGGACUCCUUGAGGUCAGGCACGGCGAUGGAUGGCAGGUUGAGCUGUUCAAUGUCGAGGUCGUCGUUGUUGUAGUCGUCUGGUUUGAUGUCGUAUACCAGGCCAGGAUCCAUGGCCCUGUCUGGCUGUAUGUGGCCGCUGCCGAAGUCGAAGGGGUCGGCCGGUUUUCUUUGCACUGAGUUGGCUUGGAUUGGCAGGCCGAAUCGAUCCGUCACCGAUGCUGAAGGGGACAUGUAUAAAGUGGUAGUAAUAGGCUGCUACUGGUUAGUGUGGGGAUAAGAGGUUUCUUGGUUGAAUCAAUCAAUAAUUACCUGUGGUAACGAUGGCGGACUUGAUCAUGGCAGGCGACCAGUCCAGGUGAACCGACUUGAGCAAGGCAACGAUCGCGGAGACAUGAGGGCAUGCCAUGGAUGUCCCGGACAUGAGCUCGUACGAGUCACCCUUGGCUGCCAAGAUGCUCACUCCAGGGGCAGCUAUGUCGGGCUGUCAUCCAAACACAAACAGAGAAGCCAAAGAUGCUAUCAUUUCAUUCAGGACAAAGAUCGUCAAUGCAUCACCCAAUCAAGAGAAGGUAUAUACGCAUAUCACCUUGAGUAUACCAGGGAACUGUGCACUCGGGCCCCUGGAGGAGAACGUGGCGACUCUCGGUGAGGCAACCUGUGCUCCGACCACCGUCGCCGCCGGAGAUAUCUUGGCUACCACACUGGCAAAAGUUACACAGACAGGAACACAGGGGAGGGUAUCAUGAGAAGAGGCCGGAACAGGAGAGGCCAUCAUUGGAGGACUAAUAACUGAAGAAGAGUGAAUUAGACGUACCUGUUGUUACUUUGGAUGAUCCUGAAUAUGGUUUCUUUGUCCACCACGACGCAGGGCAUGUGGCCUUGGCAGUACAGCUGGUAGUCGAGGAUGUCGGUGCUGUACUGCUCGAAGAUUAUGCCCUUCGCCCCGCCGGCAAUGGCGGCUUGUGUGGCCUUGACAAACUCCGCCCCUGGAGAAUAGGUGGACGGGAUUGCCGGUGCAAAGCAUACAAUGAUUUUCCCGGUGAUGUUUCCAGACCCCAGGUUCUUCCUGUCGCACCUGAUGCCGGAGAGAAUGUGUUAUUUAAUUUUCAUUCUCUCUAUGUACUAUGUAGUAGUACAUCAUUUUUGUUAUGUAGAAAGAUACAAGUUAUAUAUUAUGUAUCUAGAAAAAUAGAACACAUUAUAAUUUAAAACGGAGGGACAUAAAAUAUAAUUAAGAGUCUUUGACAUUUAAUUUAGUGCCAUAUUAAGUAGGGACUACUACUACAUAAAACCUUUACCAUGGCCUUUUGUUUUGGCCCUCGGAGGCGGGCAGCGCCUCGGUUAAUUCAGGUCGGGCUGCCAGCCCAGCAAAUGUCUCGGUUAAAAAGUUAACCGAGGUGGUCACUAUAAGACAAUCGCCGCGAUUAAUAGAUUAACCGAGGCGGUUGCCCUAAAGCGCGCAACCGUUACACUUAAUUGAUUAACUAUGAUCUUUGAUCCGAGGUGGUUACUCUGCCUGUCGCGAUUAAAAUUACUAUAGUGGUGGGCCAAAAACCCCUCCUGCUCACCCAAAAAAAUAGUGCAACUACAACUUACUAUUACUACUAAGAUAAUUCUUUUUAGGGCCUCCACCAUAAUUCUCUCGAGAGAGUUAAAAAAUAAAAAAAGUAGAAACUCUCUCAAAAGUAAAAAGAAAAGCAUCCGAUCAUCAAUUUUGUAUGUUAUAAUCUACUCAUCAUCAUAAAAAAAAUUCUCUUAAUUCUAAAUUAUUAGACUUUUGGCUUUUCUGGAUAUGUCACUGGAGUCCAAUUUUAGCACUUCAACUCAAAACCAGAUAUCAUAUCGACCAUCAAGAUUAUUUUAAAGCUAGAUUUAAAUAUUCCAAAAAUAAAAUUCAUUUUCUAAUCUCUAAUAAAAAUUCAUGAGAAAAUCAUUUUCACCACAAAAAUAUGACUCCAGUACCAUUUUUUUUCCUAAUAAAGUCUCACCCGUUCCUUGCUUAGAUUAUAUAUAUGUAUUCUUUUGUGGCAUAAUAAUAACAUAAUUUACGAAAGCCAAAGUGCAUGUGUUACCCAGUAGCCGCGAAAUGGAGCGAAGUAAAGCCGUUGUUGCUCUUGGAUGCCGCUGAGCGGUUGUGGUAGUACAAUGAUUGACCCUGCAAAUGACUCAGGAUUAAUUUUUUCCCCAUCACGGAAAUCAUAAGAAAAUCGCAUAUAUAAUAACAAAUAAAUAUAUACAGUGAAUGAAAGAAAACAAAAAAAAAACGUCAUGAUAACGACUGAGUGCUUGGUAGAUGGUUAAUGGUAGGCGUACGAACCACCAUCUUCUGUCCGUCGCCGAGUGUGAUGACGGUUGGGAAGGAGCGAUCCACGGUGGCGGCGGCCACCGUGAUGACCCACGGCAGGGCGUUCUUGACGGUCUGCUGCACGGGGCCUUCGUUCCCCGCAGCGAACACCACGGUGAUCCCGGCCGCCACGGCGUGCAGCGUCUCGGGUUUCUCAUUGACGCCUCCCAGCGACAGGGACAGCACGUCGACGCCGUCCCCGAUGGCGUCGUCGAGGGCCGCGAGGACCGACGCGUCGCCGCAGCGCGCGUCGAGGCCGACGGCGUGGCACGACUUGUAGAUCGCGAGCCGCGCGCGCGGCGCCCCGCCGCGCACCAGGCCGGCGGCCAGGCCGCUGCCGGCGUGGCUCGCGUCCCGCACCGGCGAGCCGGCCACCGUCGACGCGGUGUGCGUGCCGUGGCCGUUGGCGUCCCGCGCCGACCUGUACUCUCCCUUGAGGUCCUCCUCGGUGGCGUCCCCGGCGUACCACCGCGCGCCGAUGACCUUCCGGUUGCAGUUGCUCGCGUUGAACGCCUGGCCGGUCUCGCACACGCCUUUCCACCGCUUCGGCACAGGGCCAUACCCGGUGUCGUCGAAGCUCCGUGAUUCCGGCCAGAUGCCUGCGUUGCGCAGCAUGUCACCAAAUUUUGAAGCCUAUCGAAUGAGUCAAAUUAUCAAAAUCAGAACCUGUGUCUAUGACGCCGACGAUGACAUCCUCGCCGUACUUGGCCUUCCUAAGGAGCCGCGACGACGACGACAAUGACGAUGGCUGUUGGCCGUAGCUGAUGCCAAGAAAAUCCCAACUCCGAGUCGUGUGCACUUGGUGGUAAGUGUUUGGCUUCACGCUCACAACUCCAUGGUGUUCUAGUGAGACAUUAUAUGUUGCAAACAAACUCGUUACUUAAUUUGAUCAGUUCAUACCUCGAAUACUACUUGCGAACAAGAACAUUAUUGCAAUAUUCAUGGAAUUUUGUUGGCUCGGUGAGACUACACACUCUUAAGCUCCUCCGCUUGGGGCUCGGUAAGCUUCGCCGCGAAACCGGAGAAUCCGUGCUUAUAGCUGUAGACUAUGGACUUGCGUGCUUCAUCCUUGCUGCUCCAAUGAUGACAUGAAUGGCAAAAUCAAGGUGAGCUAGCUGAAAGCCAGCUUACAUAUAUUUAUAUAAAUGUACGUGUGCAGAGUCAUUGUCACCUUGAAUGAGCUAGAUGGGUGAUUUUAUUACUAGUAAGGGAAAGUACCUCCCAAGAAUGGAGGUCAGCGCGGCGUGGUGCGAUGCCAUGACCACGGAAGGAUCAUCGUCCUUCCUCUCACCCAUGUACACAACGUAGAUCGUCGUCUGGGUUUUUCAAGAAACAGCAUCAGUGGCAAAGCUCCUUCGUUCAUGGAGAGACAGAGAGAUACAUGAAGCUUCAGAGGAAGAGCAACAGGAAAACAGAGUUUACUUGGCUUGAGGAUGCAUCAGCAGACAGCAGGGCCAGCAGUAGCACGAGGAACUGAAGGAGUAGUACCGAUGGUGAGACAGACACAGCUUGUGAUCUCGAGCCCAUCUUUGUCAUAUUCUUUCUGAUGAGUGCACAUCCUCUUGUGCAUGCCUGUGUAUAUAUAGCAGUCUUGGCACAUUAAGGUUCUUUUUUGUUGUUUUUUUUUAUUUUAAAGGAACGUGUUGCAUCACUGGCUCACUGAAUGUCUGAUUUCACAAUAAGCAGACUCAAACUGCAGAAAUCUUUCAGCUACUCAUAAGCUCGGCCACUGUGAGGGUAUCCAAUGCAAAUAGGCAAGCCAGUAGGUGCACGGGGCCCAUCUCGCACCUCUCUGCAAAAAUGGGAAUCAUUCGGUUGCUGUAUUUGGAUUGUUUUGCAUUGGUGUGCUCUUUCAAUAAUUGAGCCUCUCAGAUGUAGUUAGAGUGAGAGAUCAAGUGAUACAGGAGAGGAAGUGAAAGAGGUCAUAUCGUGCACCGUAUCGUAGAAAUAGCAAUUAGUAGAGGCUGGGUAGGAGAGGAAUUGAAAGAGGUCACAUCGUACACAGUAUCAUAGAAAUAGCUAUUGAGAAAAAUAGGCUAGUAGAGAAUUGCUUUAUAAGAGUUUAAGAUUUGAAAUGCAAUUAAGUCGAUAUGAUGUGAAUAGCCUGAUAAAAGUUUGGAAGUUAGUGGAUGACAUAACUACUAGUGAAGAUGACGUGGAUAGUUAGUAAGGAUGAUGUGGAUGUUAGAAAUAAAAGCAAUUUAGCGAUGCAUAAAUUAAUUCCGACAACAAGAAAAAGGCUAACAACAUGUAUCACAGAUAUAUGAAUCGAAACUAGCACUACGAUUUGAAUCAAGUUCACGAGAUCUAAUGCUAGCAACAGAAAGAAUAUGAAACCGAAUAACAGAGAGAGGAUAGACAUCCUUACAGUGGGGUUGUCGGCGCGAAGGAAGAAGAAGAAGAAGAAGACCGUCGAUGGAGAUCGGCGAACAUCGGGCGUAGUGGGAAGAAGACGUCCAGCGAGCAGUCGCGACGGCGCUUCCCAAAAACCUGAUACGCCCCCUACCCCGUGCAGGGACGCGAGGAGACGUAGGCUUCGGGCCUGCUCUCCCGACACCGAUGGCACGUCGGCGACGGGAUGGAGAAGACGGCGGCAGCGCAGUAGUGUGGCGAGGAAGAGAUGAAUCUCAUGUACAAAGGACGACGUCUUGCCCCAUAUUUAUACACGCGUCGCACGUAGCAAAUAGGCAAGCAAUCAAUCACCGUAUUAUAGAAACUUUACCUGCCAUUUACGCACUUGCCAUAAUACAAGAAUAAUUGCUUACCAAAUAGGCCAGCGCAAUCUCCUCCAUGCAUGCAAAACUUCCAAGUAGCAAAAGGAAGCCGCGCACCCGCAAGGGUUGAAGCGAGAAAUCGCCGGACCAUUCACGCGCAUGUCGUGCAUGCGCGCCCAUUGGCCCCGCCCCGCCCGGCCCGGCCCGGCGAGGCGAGGCGAGCGAGCGCGCGCGUGUGGUUCUUCCUUUUCCUCUCCUCAAUUGCUUCAAUAAGAUGGAGAUAGCUCAACUUUUUAAGUUGGCCUCACUCCACUUGAAGUAGCAAGGUGGGGCUAAAGUCCCCCACCUUUCCAUAUAUACAUGCAUGUAUGAGUGGGUCUUUGGGAUUUAUUUGGAAUUAUUUGGCCCAAGGCUCUAUUCAGUAGAGACCGGUUAAGGUUGAACAUCCACCUAGAACAACAAAAUAGACCCAUCCGCAACUGCUAAAUGGACUAGGCCUUGAAUUGGCAGUUUGGUGCGAAUAGGCUUCACUCAAAGUCUUGAUUGGUACUAGGCUGCCAUAGCCAACCCCGCGAGUGGAGCGUAUAAGUCAUACUCCUAACUCACGUCAUGAGCCUAUUAAAGAAUACCUAAUUCUUAUAAACUGCGACUAACAGUUGGGCCCACAUAGGUGUGUUCUUACAAGAAUACUCUGUAGGACAGUAUCUUGCUAUAAAGCCUCAGAACACAUUAAGACAAAGUCAACCUGCCUUACAGAAAUGAGAGUACUGCAUCUCCAACGGAGUGGGUUAAAUGAAACGGUUGUACUCUCCCAUUAACCAACAACUUGUUCUUCCCAGGUCCUAAUUCACGGGAUCUCCAAUCACAUAGGUUGGGUUACUGCUGAGGUUAACUCACAUGGGUCUCAAUCCCAUCUCCUUCGAUGCAUUGUCAAUCACGGUUCGUGAUAGUCCCUUUGUGAAGGGAUCUGCCAGGUUUUUAGCUGUCUGGAUGUAGUCCACAGCUAUUACUCCGGAGCUCUUUAUUUUCCUGACAGACUUCAGUCUACGCUUUAUAUGUUUACUGGACUUUUUCCCAUUAUCCUGACUAUUCUUCACCUUUGUGAUCACUGUUUGAUUAUCACAGUUUAUGAGAAUAGCAGGAAUUGGUUUCUCAACCAACGGCAAGUCCAUCAACAUAUCUCUUAGCCACUCAGCCUCAGUAGAGGCUGUAUCUAGAGCGGUAAGCUCUGCCUCCAUUGUGGACUUUGUAAGUAUUGUCUGCUUACAAGACCUCCAAGAGACAGCACCACCACCCAGAGUGAAUAUGUAUCCACUAGUGGCCUUAAGCUCAUCAGCUUCUGAAAUCCAGUUUGAAUCACUAUAUCCUUCAAGUACCCCUGGGUACCCUGAAUAGUGAAUUGCAUAACUCAAUGUACCUUUUAGGUAACGCAUUACCCGAUCAAUACCACACCAAUGAUCACUUCCUGGAUUAGAGGAAAAUCUACUCAACUUGCUUACAGCAAAUGAGAUAUCAGAGCGGGUUGCGCUAGUUAGAUACAUCAAUGAGCCAAUAAUUUGAGAGUAUCUUCUAGCCUUUUAUUCUUUCGAAGUAUUAGACUAGGAUCGUAGGGUGUUGGAGAAGGUUUGCAAUCCAUAUAACCAAAACGGUUCAAAACCUUUUCCACAUAAUGAGACUGCAAAAGAGUAAUCUCAUUCUCACCCUUAUUAAGUUUAAUAUUGAGGAUCACAUCGGCUUCUCCCAAAUCUUUCAUGUCAAAAUUUUGGGAUAAGAAUGAUUUAACAUCAUUGAUCUCAUCGAUGCUCGUCCCAAAAAUUAGGAUGUCGUCAACAUACAAACACAAGAUUACUCCUUUGCCCCCACCAUAACGGUAAUACACACAAGUGUCGGCUUCAUUUAUUGCAAAGCCAGCAGAGGUCAACGUCUUUUCAAACUUCUCAUGCCACUGCUUUGGUGCUUGCUUUAAGCCGUACAAGGAUUUGAGUAACCUACACACCUUGCCCUCUUGUCCUUGUGCUAUAAAUCCAUCAGGCUGAUUCAUAUAAAUUUCUUCCUCUAACUCUCUAUUAAGGAAAGCCGUCUUCACGUCCAUCUAAUGGACAAGAAGCUUAUGGGAAGCAGCCAAUGAUAAUAGCACUCGAAUUGUAAUUAAUCUGGCAACAGGUGAGUAGGUAUCAAAGAAAUCCUCAUCUUCUUUCUGUGUAAAACCUUUAGCAACAAGUCUUGCCUUGUACUUUUCAAUAGUACCAUCAGGCCUGAGUUUCUUCUUAAAUAUCCAUUUACAGCCAAUUGGUCUGCAACCCGUUGGUUUAUCUACUACUUCCCAUGUUCCAUUUGUAGUGAUGGAGUCCAUCUCACUACGGACUGCAUCCUUCCAAUAAUCUGCAUCUGGUGAUGCAUAUGCCUCUGUAAUGGUUGUGGGAGUAUCAUCUAUGAGAUAGACAAUGAAGUCAUCACCAAAGGAUUUUUCAACCCUUUGUCUCUUACUCCUUCUAGGAGCUACAACAUUGCUAUCCUCUUCAAUACCAAGUGGGUCUAUAAAUGGCUCUAUCGCAGGUGUGGGCUCAGGAAUAAAUUCAUUAGACGAACUCGGUAAAGAAUAAGCAACAUUCAUCGGGAAAAUAUUCUCAAAGAAAGUAGCAUCCCGUGACUCCAACAGUGUAUCAACUAAAACAUCAGGCGCUUUAGAUUUUAUCACUAAGAACUUAUAAGCCGUGCUAUGGUGCGCAUAACCCAAAAAGAUACAAUCAACUGUCUUUGGUCCAAGCUUGCGUUUCUUAUUAAUUGGUACGCUAACUGUUGACGGUCCUUAAGUAUCAAAUUUAAUUAUCAAAUAAAUAAAGAAAAGGAUCCAAAUGAAAUCAACAUCCAGACUUAGGGUUUUUUUUAGAUCAAAGGUAUUCACCCGGCUUUAUUAGAAAGCGUAACAAACACCCCCGAUCCGAACCUGGGGUUACCAGUUUACAAUAAAAGCAGCACCAAAACAAAGUACCAACAAAAGAGAACUCAACAGAGUACCAGAAGCUACUAACAAGUUUCUCACAACCCACUCAGCAGGACUAAAGAACUCUACUAAGAACCAACUAGCGAGCAGAGGUAGCAUUCGCUGAAAUUAAGUUCAUCACAUCGUCAGCCAUUGGUUUCAUCUUUGUCUUCAACAGAGGGCUCCAGGACUUGAUCAGCAUCAGCGUCUUGUGGAUCAGCAGAGCCGGCGACGCCAUCACUUUCUUAUUGAAGACUAAAUCAUUCCUGGAUUUCCAAAGAGACCACAAGGCACCUGCAGACAGAAAAAGGAUUAGCGUUUGUUUCUUACCUCGAGUUUUUUCCACGAUCUCUAAGAACAGCGACAAACAACUUGUCGGAGCCACGUCCCAACCCAGGGAAUCUCGCAAGAAAGCCCACAGGAAAAUAGCUAAAGGACACUGGAAGAGAAUAUGAUCAGAAGUUUCAAAUUGAUCACACACAAAACAUUUCUCAGGGCCAGACCACUUUUUCUUUUUCAGCUGAACUCCACAUUGGAUUCUAUCAUGCAUAGCCAUCCAAAAGAAGAUUUUAACCUUUAAAGGCACUGGGCUUUUCCAAAUUAGCAUAGCUCUAAUAUCUUUCACACCUCCAAAGGUCAUAGCUUUAUAUAAUGAACUUGUACUAUAUUUUCCAGAUUUUUCCAAUGCCCAUCGCACUACAUCAGGACCAUCUGAGAGCUGGACCACAUUCAGCACAGCCAACAGUUCUUGCCACUCUUCACACGAACUGCCAUUAAGUUGUCUUCUGAAUGAUAUCUGCCAUUGACCCUGUACAAAGGCUCUGCCGACCUCUAUAUCCGGAUCAGAAGCAAUCCUGAACAGGUUGUUGAAUCUAAUCCUUAGAGGACAUUCACCCAACCAGCAAUCAUGCCAGAAUCUCGUUUGUAGCCCUGCUCUAAUCUCAACUAUCCUCCCCAUUUGGUACCAUUGUCUCAUGUCCAGCAAAGAUCUCCAGAAUUGUGAACCUUUCCUAUUCUUGAUUUGAAAAAUACUUUUCUGUCCCAGAUACUUCUUCCUUAACAAUGUACAACACGGGCUAACAUUCCCCCUUUCUAACUUGUCAAUCCAUUUCACCAACAAACAUUUAUACAUCACUCUCACAUCUGAGAAACCCAAACCACCAAACUCUUUUGGUCUGUUGAGAGCUGACCACUUAACCAUGUGAUAUUUCCUCUUCUUACCCGUGCCCUGCCAAAAGAAUCUAGCUCUAAUAGCAUCGAGCAUUUGAUAGUUGCCCUCGUAAAGCUCAUAUACCCCCAUAGUAUACAUAGGGAUGCUGGAUAAGGAAGAGUCAAUCAAAAUGGAUUUACCACCUGAGGAGAGGUCUGACAGAAUUCCACGAGUUUUGGUGUUUGUCUAUUUCUGUAGGGGGUUAUCAAGAAAUACGGAAGAAAGGCCCACACGUCGGGAUUACAUAAAGAUAUUAACGUGCCGCGCAAUUAUCUUACAUCUAGAAGACUCCAGAAGCCACGAGACCGAAGCGGAGGCGAAACGGGGCCUGACCCUGGGCGCCCGCCCAGGUGAUCAGGGCGCCCGCCCACCUCCUGAGUCCAAUCAGGACUCUGCUUCGUGGGAGAUCUCCACCGACCUAAAGGAUGAAUCUAAACCAUACAAUCUAAGUCGGUUUGAUCCAAUGGCCCAUAUUCACUUGAAGGGACUAUAAAACCAGACCCCCUGGCCCCUGGAGGAGAGAGCCUCUCAACCCUAAUUCAUUAUUUCUCAAGGGAGAAGAAGCCUCUGAUCAAGAUUAGAGCCACCACAUCAAUUAGAUAUCUAGAUUAGCAUAGCUACAUAGGAUUAGAACUAGAAGGAGUCAAUCUUCGAUUGGUUUCCGGAUCUGUCAAGAGGAUUCUUGGUAAUUCUCUAAUUGUGCUUCUAAUUACUUUCUAAUUAUCUUCGUUCUUCAAUAUUAUGAAUAUGACUUUGUUCUACUUCAAUAUAUUGCUUAUGACUUUGCUCUACUUGCUUAUAUUUAAGAUUAUAUUGUUCUUAGUUUAUCAUAGUUAUGUACUUGGCUUAGUUAGAUUCGAUCUAUAUACAUGCUUAGGAUCGUAUAGCGUUUAUCCAUCGGAUCCAUGGGUAAAUGAUAGAUAUUGUGUAGGCGUGGUGCUUAUACCGUAUUUAUCUGCGAUUGUACCCAAUAUGCCAGAUCGUGGGGUGGUUCGUGAUAGUGACAGCUUCAUUGAUUCUUAUAUAGUCCCCCUCUCGUGUAUUGGGCUGGCAGAGCAACAUUAUUACAGGGGAGUGAUUGCUAUGUUUCUCAUUUACCUUGCUAAUAUCACUAUGCAUGGGCGUAGUCUUGUCUCGCAAUGAUUGCUAAGUAUGCUUGCACUAACUAUGAUAAUGCUAGACUAUAUAGUUGAGAAUAACUUAGGGAAUAUUCUUGUAGUUCAUUCUAAUACCAUGCUAAUGGCUUUCUAGAGUAUCUAAUUGAGGUGCUUAUCAUAUUUAUUAUGUGGCUAGAUCAGACUAGUUAUCCUUGUCACUAUUCGUUAUUUCAUAUAUCUUUUAUGUGACACUUAUCCCUGUAUGAAGAGUUAGAUAUAAUGUUCUCAAUUAUACAUGCAAUGAUAGAUGCUCAAUCUCAUAUUCUAUUCUGUAAUCAAUAUUGAUGAUUGUUAAUCCCUUCCCAGUGGUAAAAAUAUAAAUAACGAUACCUGGAAUACUUCCCGGUUAAAAUGCUGCAUCGAUAUUAAUCUGUGCGCUUGCAGAUCCCAUUCAUUAUUUAUUUAGAAGAGCAAUUGCAUAUUUCAAUACCGCGUCUCUUAUAUCAUGCUGGGGAUGACAACUUGGCUUAAGUGGUGUGAGGGAUAGGUUUGGCAUUUUUGGCACCGUUACUAGAUUUAGAGAACUUAGUCUACUUUUGGUAAUGAUGUUAAGAAUACCCAACACUAACCAUGGCCAAACAGCCCCACGUACGCAAGUAAUGGAGUGAUGGUUUCCUUCCUUUCCAUCCUUCAUACGGAGUAACUUCACUAUUCUUAGUUGGAACUCUAUUUAGAACAUGACAUGUUGUUAAAACAGCCUCCCCCACCAUGCUUUAGCCAUACCGGAUGUUCCUAACAUAGCAUUCACCAAGUCCAUUAAUGUCCGGUUUUUUCUUUCGGCAACCCCAUUAGAUUGGGGCGAAUAUGCUGGUGUCCGUUCAUGAAUUAUUCCAUUCUCCGCACAGAGAAGAUCAAACUCAUUGGAAAAAUACUCCCCACCACGAUCAGACCUAACACGCUUGAUUUUCUUUUCUAAUUGGUUCUCUACCUCAGCCUUAUAAGUCUUAAAACAUUCAAACGCCUCAUCUUUAGUUUUUAGAAGAAACACAUAGCAAUAUUUAGUUGCAUCAUCAAUUAAAGUCAUGAAGUAUCUUUUUCCUCCUUUUGUCAACAUACCAUUCAUUUCACAAAUAUCACAAUGUAUGAGCUCUAGUAAUGUUGUGCACCUCUCGUCUACAACCUUGUGAGGCAUACGAGGUUGCUUCGCUUGCACACAUGCUUGACAUUUAGAGCCUUUGACAAUAGAAAAGUUUGGAAUUAAACUCAUACUGGAUAAACGCGUCAUACAACCAAAAUUAAUGUGACACAAAUGUGAAUGCCAUAUAUCAGCCACUGAAUUGUUUGAAUCACACACAUGGUUCACAACUUUAUUACAGAAAUCAGAGAGUGAAAAGCGGAACAAGCCUCCGCUCUCGUAGCCUUUGCCAAUAAAUUGGCCAUACCUCGAGACGACUACUUUAUUUGACUCAAACACCAGCUUGAACCCAUCUCGACACAAGAGGGAUCCACUAACGAGGUUCUUCUUUAUUGAGGGCGCAUGCUGCACGUUCUUGAGCCGCACGAUCUUUCCCGAAGUGAACUUCAGAUCGACCGAACCAACACCAAGAAUAGAAGCAUGCGAGCCGUUCCCCAUCAUAAUGGUUGAACCUCGUGCGAUCUGGUAAGAUGAAAACAUAGAAAUAUCAGUACAAACAUGAAUAUUGGCUCCUGUAUCAAUCCACCAAUCAUUAGAUUGAAAUAUAGAAAAUGCACUAGGUAAAUAAUUACCGUACCCAGAUCCGCUAGGAUCACCAAUAGUCACAUUGGCAGAUUUCUGCCCCUGCUGAUUCUUCCUGCCUUUGUGGUUCUUGCACUUCUUGGCGAAGUGUCCAUUCUCACCGCAAACGAAGCACAUGUCACACCCAUAUUUUAAGAACAAAAUAGGAUGCAUAAAAGACUCAUAUGUGCCCCAGAAACAGUCGCAUACAUAAGUAGACAAAUCUCAAAUGUACCAUUACAGUGUUUAUUACAUAGCGGAAUAUAUUAUAUCACAUAGUCUCAUACAAAAAUGAUAACAUAAAGUGAACAACGCUCUCGACGGAAGCUCCACAUAGGGACACUGCUGAAUGGUUGACUCCAAACCUAGUACACAUAACGAUAAUCCUCAUUCCAAUCAUCUUCAUUAUCAUAUCCUGAGGUGUUGGGAAAUUGCAAGAGUGAGCACAUAUCGUACUCAACAAGUAUAGCAAGGGGUUCAUGAGGCUCAAAUAGCUGACACUGGUGUGACUGCAUUUAGCUUUUAAUAGUGGAUAGUAUGUUCAUAAUUAUAUAACGAAGGUCAAGGUAGCAUAAAUAAUCCAUUAAUCCCAUGAUCAAGUGUAAGCAUAAUUAAUUCAUAGCAUAAACGAUAAUCAAAUGAACAUAAUAACAUAAUAAGCUCAUCAUCUUAAUAUAGAUGUCCCCAAGGCCGCUCCUGACCGUGAGCUCGGCUAGUAUACCAGUUUUACACUCUGCAGAGGUUGUACAUCUUUACCCAUGAGUCAUGAUUUACCCUUUCGCCCGAGAUAGCUAAUCUCUUAACCCCCUUCCUAGGGAGGUCGGCAGGGAUCACUAUGAAGCCUUUCAAAAGUUCGUCUAACAUGUUAGGGUCGCAAGGUUUCCUUUGCGAGCAGAUAUAGAUACCCCCUUCCGAAUGGUACAAUGACGCGCAGCCUAUACACAUAGGGACAGGGGCUCGCACUAUACCCGUGUCGGUUCAGCCCCUCCGCCCUUUCGGGUAACUGCUAACAAGCUAGAAAAGGUCUCCAUACUGAGCUAAAGCCAGAGCCAUUAUAGCCCUCAUGGUUGCACUGUUAUCUCGGGUGAUCACGUACAGACAAGAUCUCAUACAGUUAUUUGUCAUUCUUUUAUGUUCAUUGCAUAGCUAUUAAUCAUCUUACAAGAUCAUAGAUUAUAUCAAGCACUAGCACAUCUACACCAAAUGCAUAUCAAAUAGGUAGCAAGGAAUCCAGAUAACAAUCAUCUAUUAUUUUGCUAAGGUCGACAAGGUGAUACCAUGCAUAUGAUAUAUAUGUAGUUAAUAGUGAAUAGGUAACAAGGAUGAUCCCAAGUUAUACUUGCCUUGCUCAAAGCUCUCCUGAGCCCGCUGGUCUUCAAAAGCUUGGUCUUGAUCACCAACGUACGGCUCACUGUCUAUUCCCAAACAUCAAUCAACAACACGCAAUCUAAUAUAGACAAUCAUACACAAAGCAAACAAGCUAUAAUUAGAACAUUACACCAACAGUGAGAAAUCAAAGAUAAAAGUUUAUGAAAAUAUUCUACGCAGCGCUACGAUCACGCGAACGUAAAGUUCACGAAAAUCGGAAUUAAAACGAGAAAGAUAUGAAUUUUCUAAGAUUUCCUAUAGAGAAAUAAUUAAUUAAAUAGUACUGCAGAAAUAAAAAGUUUCAAAACAGUAAACUAAUACUUCUAACAUAUAGAGAUCGUAAAUAUGAAUCCAACAAAAUUUGAAUGGACAAAAACGGAGUUAAUAUGAAUAUUUUAUAAGCAAAACAAAUCUAGUGGCAGUUCUGUAAUUAACUGAAAACGUAUUUUAGAUUCAGCCGACCAUAAUACGCUUUCUGAAAAGGGAAACGUAAACUUGAAAUACGUAAAGGAUGACGGGUUGAAUAGCAAAAACUCCAGGGGCUCUUUAACAAUUUUUCCUGGCGAAGAGGUAUGUUUUAAUCUGGGCCCUUGAUCUUCAGAUGGACGGUCCCCAGGCCACCAGGGAGGGGCCAGGCGACGGCCGGCCGUCUGCCUCCUCUCCGGUGCGGUGGUCGCCAUGGACAGAGCUCCUGAGCUCGCCGGUGUCGACGGGCUUCUCGAUUCCGAGCACCGUUUCAAGAAAGAAAAACACCGGGACGCGGAGAAGCUUCACGCGAACUCACCUAGACGCUCGGUUCGCGCUGAUUGGAAGGAGAUAGUGCUCGUCACGGUGAAGGAUGUGCGCGGCUGUCGGUGAGAUCCAAAUCGCGUGGUUUAGGGCGGCUAGGGCUCGGUUUCGUGAUUAGGAUGCAGAGGAGGGUUCGCUGCGGCGCUUAGGGCUUAAAAGGGUGCCGUUUAGCCAAACUUGGCAAGAAAUCCCGCUUCCCAGGAAUCGGUUUCGGUGCUGGGAGCUUUCCCAGCCGAGUUCGGCUCGACCACGCUGGGGAGAAGAAGGAAGGCACCGCCAGGUGGGGGCCAGAGCGUCAGCCGGAUAGGGAGAGAUAGGGAGUCACUGCCAAGCGGGACCGAACGGUCAGUGGCUCAGAGAGCGGGCCAGGCUAGACAGUGAGAGUGAAAGAGGAGGGGGUGCGCUGCUGGGCUUUGGCCUGCGGUUUGCUGGGCUGCGGGGGAAAACAAGCAGGCUAGGGAGGGGGCUGGGCCGAGGGGUGAGAGGGGGGUUCGGCUGGGGUUUUCUUUUUUUUUCUUUUUUGUUUUCUUUUCCAAACCCUUUUUCAAAUAAAAAAAAUCUUGAAUGCAAAUAAAUUCAAACAAAAAGGCAACAUCACAGAACUAAAUAUGCUCCAGCAUGAAAUGCACCAACAUUUUUAUUGAACCUAUGAUAAAUUUUUAUUUUCCACAAAAAUUAUUUAAGUGCUAAAUUUAAAUGCUCACAAAAUUACUUAAUUAAAUCAAAUUAAUCCCUAUUUAUUUAAAACAGAUUUUUGGGUGUUACAGCACACAACUUCAUCCAUGUUCAUCUUCUUCUUCUUGAACUGAGUAGUCUGAAUAGCCUUCUGUUUGUUCUUGCCAGCAUGCUGCAUCACAUUGGAACUAGACUAUUCUGGGGCUUUUGGUGGAGCAUCCUUUGCCCGAGCCUUCUCUUCAACAUCAAGACCGGCCAACAGAUCCUCAACUGAGAUCUUCUGUCUUUUAUGUUUCAGAGCUGUGGCGAAGUUUCUCCAUGACGGAGGCAACUUGACAAUUAUACCACUAGCCACAAACUUGUCUGGCAAGACGUGUCCGAGUUGUUCAAGUUUCCUCACAAUAAGUUGGAACUCAUGAGCCUGUUUCACGACUGAACGGUUUUCAACAAUUUUGAAGUCGUGAUACUUCUCCAUCACAUACAACUCGUGCCCAGCGCGUCUGCAGCACUGAACUUAUGUUCAAGUGCCUCCCAUAGUUCAGCAGCACUUUUGAUGUUCAUGUAAAUAUCACACAACUGGUCAGAGAGAACGCUAAGAACGCAUCCGACGAAAAUCAUCGUAGCCGCAGUAAACUCCUGCACCUCUUUCUCAGAUCCGAGAGGUAGUGCGGGAGGAUUACCCACGAUCCAAAACACGCCCAUAGCCGUGAGCCACAACUGGGCCCUCGUCUGCCAUCUCUUGAAAUUCACACUACUGAACUUCUCCGGUUUCAACGCAUCAGUAUAUCCCUUAGUCAUCGCUAAAUGCCUAUCAGGUUUUUGGAUUGUUGGAAAUAAAAGUAAUUUAGCGAUGCAUAAAUUAAUUCUGACAGCAAGAAAAAGGCUAACAAUAUGUAUCACAGAUAUAUGAAUCGAAACUAGCACUACGAUUUGAAUCAAGUUUACGGGAUCUAGUGCUAGCAACAGAAAAGAUAUGAAACCGAAUAACAGAGAGAGGAUAGACAUCCUUACAGUGGGGUUGUCGGCGUGAAGGAAGAAGAAGAAGAAGAAAAGAAGACCGUCGAUGGAGAUCGGCGAACACCGGGUGUAGUGAGAAGAAGACGUCCAGCGAGCAGUCGCGACGGUGCUUCCCAAAAACCUGAUACGCCCUCUACCUGUGCAGAGACGCGAGGAGACGUAACCUGCUCUUGCUGGACCAUUCACGCGCAUGUCGUGCCCAUUGGCCCCGUCCGGCCCGGCGAGGCGAGGCGAGCGCGCGCGCGUGUGGUUCUUCCUUUUCCUCUCCUCAAUUGCUUCAACAAGAUGGAGAUAGCUCAACUUUUUAAGUUGGUCUCACUCCACUUGAAGUAGCAAGGUGGGGCUAAAGCCCCCCACCUUUCCAUAUAUACAUGCAUGUAUGAGUGGGCCUUUGGGAUUUAUUUGGAAUUAUUUGACCCAAGGCUCAAAACAUCUAACAGUGGAUGGCUUGCAUGUUGAGAUAUGUAAUGACAACCAAAAUUGUCCAAAGAGCAUAAUGGACAAUAUCAUCAUGUUUCUGUCAUCAAUAUGGCAAGAAAGCAUACAAGGAUCAUCGUAUUCGGCGCUUGGGUGAGGUAAAUGACUUUUCGUGACGUUUGAUCAACUUCCACAAAUGCAAGAAUGGACUUCAGCAUCGAGUUGACCAGAUUUGGAGUCUUGAUGAAUUGAUUAUGAAUUUUAGAAACUUUUCGCUGGAAUUUCCAGCAGCUAGUCGGCUUAGUUGAGUCCCCUAGUCGGCUAAGCCGACUCUCCCUGUUUUUAGCCCAUAAACAACAUCCCAGACUCGUGAAAGUUGGCCAAACUGACUUGGGAGUUGGAAAAGGCGACUUCUGUUUGUUUUCUGAGCCGGUUUGACCUACAAGUCAGGUUUUGACCUAUUUUUGACGUGGAAAACUUAAAGAUGAAGUCGUGGAUAUGUUUCCUACUAAGAUAAAGACCAUCCUCUUGUACCCUCUUCUCCAUCCCCUAUGCUGUUCAUCCCUUGAUCUAUGAUCAAGGAUGGCGCCCUAGGCUUGCCAACCGACCUAGGGCAACUUGGCGACUUCCUUGCCUCUCGGGUGAGAGUUUUGAUAGGCGGUUGUCUUAGAAAAUCGUUAUGUUCUCAAUUAACCGCUAGUGGAAAGAUCCAUUUCCACUGGUUUCCUAGCGCUGGCGGUUCUGAGAAAUAUCUAUAGAAAUGGUCCUUUUUCCACUUCAUGCUAGUGGAGUCUUCAAGUAUUAGUGCCAAAUAGUACGAAUAUUUUUUGAAUUAUGGAAAGUAUUAAAUCUCAGCUUUCUUCACCUUUUUUCAUGGAUGUAAUUAUAACAAUGUGUUGGGCAAUCUGGUCUUUGCGCAAUGAUAAAAUUUUUAGAGGCUUUCACAAUUCAAUUCGCCGCUGCAAGGAGAUCUUUAAAAAAGAGUUUGCUCAGGUUAUUCUAAGAGCAAAAAGUGAUAUGCAACCAAUACUAACGAUAUGGCUACAAGCUUAUGUAUAAUUUAUUUUAUUUUUUUCUAUUCUUUCUUCGUCUUUUAAGUGAGGCUUGUAACAUUUUGUACAUUUUAUUUAAAUUUUCAAUAAAUUCCAGUAGGGGAUAAACCCCCUCCUGUUCUCUUAAAAAAACAUGACACAACUGUCAUCGUAUUCCACACAGCCAGAAUCCGCCGCAAUCUUCUUGUCGCCAAAGCCGAAUUAUCAGAAACAUUACACGGCCUCUCUUAUCUUCUUGAGGCGCCUUGGUAUGAAACAAUGUACUAGUAGCCAAUAAUAAUGCAGCUUCAGACAGACAGCAACUGCUGAGAUGACGGAGACAGAUGAGAACAAGCCUACUAGAGGCCGAAGUGCAUUCCUCCGAAAAGGAAACUGAUCGAAGAGCUCACGGGCUAAACAGCCAUAAGGCCAUUUGAAUUGAAGCACGCCCCGAAAUCAAAGUACUGCAAAUUCAUGCAGGCAGACAGCGUCCAUAUAUAUAGUGUCUAAUGGCUCGAUUUGACGCCCUAAGUGUCUCUUAUGCCAUUUGAAUUGAAGCAACCAAAUGUAGUGGUCACGACCUGUAUAGUACCCUAAAUCAUAAAAACACUCAAGGGCUACUGUAGGAGUUAUAUAACCGGGGUAACCCAAAGCACGGUCAUAAGAGACACUUACGGUGGUCUAGCUAAACAUAGCUAGAUACAACCUACUCAACCUCUCUUGACGGGCCAUAUGAGCCAUGCCUCGACAUCUCCCACCUCUCGACCACGCACCAUGCGGUGCCCCUGAGCCUUAGCUUCUAAGGAAGGGACGAUAGGAGGGAGGACGCAUUAAAUGCCUCAGCACGGAUGGGAUGCGCAUACAUGCACUCCACCAGGUACAAGAAAAGAUGUUAACCCUCUGACCGCCAAGUCCUAGGGUAGAGCGUCUCCUCAACUAGCACCCUGCUGACAGACAGACAACAUAGGACUCAACUAUGUCACCUCUUGCAUGGCUCAGCGCUACCCAAAUCCUGUCUAGCCUGAUGGAUAGGCAUAUGGUCACACCUACUAUGGUAUGGGAACCAUGAUCGAGAGCCAACUCUCCCAUUGUUAUUAGAUCCUAUGCCCUUGACCUAACCAUAGGAGGUUGGGGCAACGAACCCAUGGCCGAGGGAGCAGGAAGCCCGCAAGGGACACGUGACAUCCUCGUACAUUGACAUCACGACCUGUAUCGAAGAAAUGGGUGCUAGGACUAAGGCCAUGACACCCACAAUGAGCCCGUGCUGACUUGGGUAGUUGUUGAACAACCACCACUCCCAUCAUGCCACAUCAACAUAGUGUUGCCACAACUAGCACAUUGCCACCAUCGUACGCCAAACCUUGGUGUGUAAGGAGCAAGCUUACAAUGACCUUGCCUAGAUCAUGCUGACUCAGGCCUCCCUUGGGCUCCUAGCUACUCAGGCCAGGAGAACCCCAAAUUUCUGCAUGUAACCUAGCUCUCGUGACUAUAUAAGGGAAGACAUGCCUUCUUCAAAUGAUCGAUUUCCUCUACCUCGAUCUCUUCUACUACCUAUAGAACCAUAACUUGCAAACCUCCUAUUGUAAGCCUUUCGAGCACUUGAACAUUGAGGAACUUGGACUCAUAGUCUGUGACACUAGACGUAGGGCUUCGUCUCGAACUAGUAUAAACUCAUUGUGUCUUGAGUGCUAGCCAUCGAUUCUUUUGAGCAGCGUGGAGCUAAAUUUAGUCGUUGGUUCUCAAAACACCGAUACACCGGCUUUGCGCGGCCGCUCCUAGCGUCUUGCUUGCCAUGGCAACGCGCGACCAAAUAUAGAUUUUUCGGCGCUGCCCCUUCUCCAAGUCCACUCGAGCUGCACAAAUGUGUUGGCACCGCAUAGCUCCAAGGUCUGCAGAGUUCGGUUGAUCCAUGUUGUUCCGGUUCUCCUAGGACGGCUCAGCUCCUGCUCUCAUGGCACCACCGCCGCAUGUAGGGUUAGGGUUUAGUGAGUAAAUGUUGGAGUGGACAAUGCAAGUGGGUUGGGUCUGGUGGGAUGAGGGUCUACGAACACUAAUAUCAAUUAUGUCCGUGGGCUGCCAAGUCGACAGGACACUAUUGGGUUGGUUCAAUGGUUUGUUGAUAGUUCGGUUUUCUUAUUUUUCGAUUUGGUUUGAUGUGAAAAUCGAAGCCGGAGCUAAUGACUGAAGGUCUAUAAUGCAGACCCGAAAUUGAAAAUGAAAACCGAAAACUUCGACUUGUCUGCUGGGUUCGGUUUUCGUUUCAAAAGUGCCCGGCCCUAGACAAACUCCAUCUUUGUCAUACAUACAACUUGUGCACAUUUAUAUUUCAGUGGUCGCCAAAUCAUGUUUUUCCCAGGCAAAUGUUACAUAUAGAACUGAUUUCGAAUGAGGUAUUAAUUAUUGAAGAGUUUCCACGUCGUCCCUUUCUUAUUACAAGAACACGAAUGGCUGGCGGCUUGGACAGUAAACCGAAUUAAUUGCAAAGCGAGAAAAGGAAAUCGAAAGGGUGAAGAAUCAACAACGUGGAACACACAUCCUGCCCAGAACGAACUCGAUCAUCAAGAUACAUCAGCGACGAAGUCCCGGACGACGGUCCGAACGGCUACAGGGAUCCUCACCGAGUGCUUGCCGUCAUCCAGCCAUGUCAGGCUCCCAAACGCAUAGCCACCCUGCACUCUCUGCUUCGCCAUGAACGUCACCUUAAACGUCGCGUUCCUAGGGCCACCUUUCUGGAAGGCGAUCACCGGAGGCUCCACGCUCAUCUUCACCCCCGCCGGCGCCUCCACCACCGCCCGGUACGUCGCCUUCGCCGGCCCGACGUUGGUCACCGUGCGGGUGAACGUGGUGGAAUUCUUGAGGUCAGGCACGGCGAUGGAGGGGAGGUUGAGCUGUUCAAUGGCGAUGUCGUCGUUGGUGUAGUCGUCCGGUUUCAGGUCGUAUACCAGGCCAGGAUCCAUGGCCCUGUCUGGCUGUAUGUGGCCACCGCCGAAGUCGAAGGGGUCAGCCGGUUUCCUUUGCACUGAGUUGGCUUGG
rnacentral:lncRNA from 1 species